AUGGAUGUCCAGUUGUCCAUCAGCUUCCUGAGGGACAGACUGGGCGGGACCAUUGACGAGGCAGUGCGUACAGCAGUGGAGUCUGUGCUGUGUGAGACUGUGCGUCUGUUAACCGGGCUCCAAGGGGACCAGCAGCAUGGACUUUCCUCAGUGACCCAGAGGGACCAGGACACCCUGGGACUGAAGCAGAGGUUUGAGGCCCCCAGCGGGGGUGACUGGAGGGUGCAGGCUGGGUCUUCGGGGGCAUUCUGUAACACAGGACCGAGGGUUAGUGGUGGGCGCUGCAACACUAAGAAUCCAAUGGGUCAGACCACUUGCUCAACCUCCCAAGCAUCACAAAGGACCACCGUGGAGCCCCAUCCCCAGGAGGUGGUGGAGGACUGUGCUGGACUGCCUGACCCGUUUGACCUUGUGUCGGCUGGGCCAGUGAUGGUGGACUAUGAGGAGGGUCAGGGCAUGGGGAUCCCAGAGGAGUGGGAACUGAUGAACAGAGUGUACAAGACGGAGCACAAUGAAGACAUGGCCCUUAUUGAUGGGGGCGGUACCACUCAAUUUGCAGAUGACCACAGGCUGCAUGAAGGAGACCAGAGGACUGUGGCUGUGCCCCUGGAGGGAGAGAUGGCUGCCAAGCCCCAGGACGCAUUGCACCCCUGCUUCAGCCCAGCCAACAUCAAAACAGAGCGACCUGAGAUAGAGAGAUGCUGCAUGGCUGAGGAGGCCCUUGCUCCGCCUCUGGCUCAUCCUGCCAAUAGUGGUGUGGAGGCCGGUGAGUUUGGGCAGGAGCAGGUGGAGGCUGGUCCACAGGACUUUGUAGGUCGCCUGCGCCUGUGGCUGGAGCAGCUGUGUCCUGAGGUGGUCCGGGAGUACGAGAAGGAGGGCUGUCUGUGUGAGCUGUCCCGCAGGAAGCUUAUCAAGUUCUCUGUGUCCUUCAUCGUGGAGGAGUUUGGAUUCUACCCUACCUCUGCUCAGAAGACCAUGCUGGCAGAGCACAUAGUGGAGCUCUUCCCAGGACUCAGGCUCUGUGCACCCUCUGCUGGCAUCAACGGCAUAGAACACUUGUACGACCCUUUGUCCCGUACGGGUUACAUUGAGACGCGCCUGCGCAACUCUCGACGCACCCUUGAAGACCACAAGAAGAAGUAUGUGCUGAAGAGGCGUCGGCCAGAGCCAGGCUUGGCGGACCCUCCUGUACCUAGAUUGGGGUCUGGGCUCCUGGAGAGACAGUCCAGUGAGGAGACCCAGAGGUGGAUGGAGCUGAUGAAGAGAACCAGGCCCCUGACCAGGAACCUGCCUGCCAUCCACAGUGCUAUGGACCUCACAUUCAACGCACGCAGGAGGUGGAUCAGCAACACACGGCCUAGUAUGAGGGCUGUGUUGGCCGAGUACCCACGUUUUCUUGACGUUCCCACCACGAUUGACCUGGAGUUUGAGAGGAUGUUCCCAGGUAAAGGCCACUCCUUCCUGGCCCAGUGGUCGUCGUUCGUGUUGCCCAGGCUGUACCAGAUUGCAGAGUGUGAAAAACACCCGGACAUCUCUGCACUUCUCCAACUGGCUGCCACACAGCAAGGAGACUCCUACACCAUGACUAUGCUGAAAGUCCUGAUCUAUGUACUACCACCAACAAACACCAGUAGAGCCUCCUUACCCUCCAGGAGCAGUGUCAGGCAGGCCAUUCGGUAUCUGGUGGACAUUGUACCGGUGAGCAACACAGUAUUUUUCUUCCUGGUCAGACUGAGCAGUAAACCCAGACAUUUCCUCAUUGCCAUAUAGAUUAAGUUUGUGAACUAGUGGAAUUUUAGAAGAUACGGUAACAAUGAUGUUUUGAAGGAAUGUAAUUGAAGAAUCCCCUUGAAAGACCUUUCCUCCUUUGUUCCUCUACAGAUAGACACCAUGGUGUCCUCCUUAUUCUGUGACCUUACCUCCUUGGAGGGCCCAGAGUCUGUGUCCCACGCUCAGCCCUACAUAUUGAGCGUGGGGCCCCUGGAGGCCCCUGGCCGGCAGCUUUGCAUCGUGUUCCCUGUUGAUAGGAUUGCAAUCCCCCUGCCUCAGGAGGGCCUGAGCAAUGCACUGGACAAGCUUUUCAAGCUUCUGCGUGUGUUUGAACUGGGGUACCCAGAUCAGCUAGCCUCCCUGUAUGGCUUCCUUGAGCACCUGUAUGGGCUGGAGAUGACCCCACAAGAUAACCAUGACUCCCCCAGUGGCAAGGGGUCAAAAGUGCUUGAACUUUUGUCACGGCUCCACAUGCCCUCCUGACAGAAGGCAUAGGUCUAUACAAGAAUUGAACUCGCCCCACAGACUUACCUUUUUAUUUUUUAAAUAUUUUAUUAUAGCUGUCCUUUACAGAACACCUCCUUUACUAUGUUCUGGAUUUGCCCCAAAAUUAAAGUAUGUCAGACUGAACUGAGCAAUGCUGAUGGAUCACUGGUGUUAUACCUUCAUUAUACAGUACCAGUCAAAGGUUUGGACACACCUACUCAUUCAAGGGUUUUUCUUUAUUUUUUAAUAUUUUCUACAUUGUAGAAUAAUAGUGAAUACAUCAAAACUAUGAAAUCAUGUAGUAACCAAAAAAGUGUAAAACAAAUACAAAUAUAUUUUAGAUUCUUCAAAGUAGCCACCCUUUUCCUUGACAGCUUUGCACACUCUUGGCAUUCUCUCAACCAGCUUCAUGAGGUAGCCACCUGGAAUGCAUUUCAAUUAACAUGUGUGCCUUGUUAAUUUGUGGAAUUUCUUUCCUUAAUGCUUUUGAGACAUUUCUUUCCUUAAUGUAUUUGAACCAAUCAGUUGGGUUGUAGGGGUGGUAUACAGAAUAUAUACCUACUUGGUAAAAUACCAAGUCCUUAUUAUGGCAAGAAUAGCUCAAAUAAGCAAAGAGUUAGCAAAGAGACAGUCCAUCAUUACUUUAAGAAAUGAAGGUAGGUCAAUCUGGAAAAUUUCGAAAACUUUUAAAAUUACUUCAAGUGCAGUCACAAAAACCAUUAAGCGCUAUGAUGAAACUGGCUCUCAUGAGGACCGUCACAGGAAAGGAAGAGUUACAGAGUUACCUCUGCUGCAGAGGAUAAGUUCAUUAGAGUUACCAGCCUCAGAAAUUGCAGCCCAAAUAAAUGCUUCAGAGUUCAAGUAACAGACACAUCUCAACAUCAACUGUUCAGGGGAGACUGCGUGAAUCAGGCCUUCAUGGUCAAAUUGAUGCAAAGAAACCAGUACUAAAGGACACCAAUAAGGAGAAGAGACUUGCUUGGGCCAAGAAACACGAGCAAAGGACAUUAGACCGGUGGAAUUCUGAGUCCGAAGUUGAGAUUUUUCGUUCCAACCGCCGUGUCUUUGUGAGACGCAAAGUAGGUGAAAGGAUGAUCUCUGCAUGUGUGGGGGUGCUUUGCUGGUGACACUGUCAGUGAUUUAUUUAGAAUUCAAGGCACACUUAACCAGCAUGGCUACCACAGCAUUCUGCAGCGAUACGCCAUCCCAUCUGGUUUGCGCUUUGUGGGACUAUCAUUUGUUUUUCAACAGGCACAACACACCUCCAGUGUUAUUUGACCAAGAAGGGGAGUGAUGUAGUGCUGCAUCAGAUGACCUGGCCUCCACAAUCACCCGACCUCAAUCCAAUUGACAUGGUUUGGGAUGAAUUUGACCAGAGUGAAGGAAAAGCAGCCAACAAGUGCUCAGCAUAUGUGGGAACUCCUUCAAGACUGUUAGAAAAGCUUUCCUCAUGAAGCUGGUUGAAAGAAUGCCAAGAGUGUGCAAAGGGUGGCUACUUUGAAGAAUGUCAAAUAAACAAAUAGAAAAAUAUUGUAACAAUUUUUUUGGUUACUACAUGAUUGCAUAUGUGUUAGUCUUCACCAUUAUUCUACAAUGUAGAAAAUAGUAAAAAGAAAGUCAAACCCUUGAGUGAGUAGGUGUUUCCAAACAUUUGACUGGUACUGUAUAUUCACUGAGCUUCUCAUUGACAAUGCAAAUACUUGCAUAAAACUAACAUCUUGUAUGAAUUUUCUGUGGGGGGAAAUGUUGUACUUUAGGAUACCUUUUCAGUUUUUGCUCAAUUGCUUUAGUAUUUAACUUGCUCAUGAUACUGUUGUGGUUUGCUUUUUUUUUAAAUAAAAAAAAGAUUUGAAUAUGUGAAAAACUGGUGAGGUAUGUAAUGGUAUCAUUUUCUGUCCUGUCAACACAUUUAAGUAAUGCAUGACUAAGUGAUAGACUAUACAAAGAGCAUAUGUUCAAUCGGUGGCAGCAGUCUAAUAUGGCCUCGGUUGAACCUGCCUAUGGGCCAUCACUUCACCAGGUGAAGCCAGUGAGGGAGGAGUGCCCAACAAUCUGCGCCACUCCCUAAUGUCGUCAAUAAGGCAGCAUGAU
rnacentral:lncRNA from 13 species